UACGUAGGGUGCAAGCGUUAAUCGGAAUUACUGGGCGUAAAGGGCGCGUAGGCGGCCAUCUAAGUCAGACGUGAAAUCCCCCGGCUUAACCUGGGAACUGCGUCUGAUACUGGACGGCUUGAGUAUGGGAGAGGGAUGUAGAAUUCCAGGUGUAGCGGUGAAAUGCGUAGAUAUCUGGAGGAAUACCGGUGGCGAAGGCGGCAUCCUGGACCAUUACUGACGCUGAGGCGCGAAAGCUAGGGGAGCAAACGGG
rnacentral:rRNA from 1 species